rnacentral:tRNA from 1 species
UGGGGCGUCGCCAAGCGGUAAGGCAACGGCUUUUGAUGCCGUCAUUCGCAGGUUCGAUCCCUGCCGCCCCAGCCA